rnacentral:rRNA from 1 species
AGCAGCCGCGGUAAUUCCAACUCCAAUAGCGUAUAUUAAAGUUGCUGCAGUUAAAAAGCUCGUAGUUGAAUUUCGGGACCAUCAUGUCGGUCGUGCCUCGGUACGUACUGGCAUUGUUGGUUUCUCCCUUCUGAAGAACCUUGAUGUCAUUAAUUUGGUGUCUUGGGGAAUCAGGACUGUUACUUUGAAAAAAUUAGAGUGUUUAAAGCAGGCUCGCGCUUGAAUACAUUAGCAUGGAAUAAUGAAAUAGGACGUUUGAUUCUAUUUUAUUGGUUUCUAGGAUCGACGUAAUGAUUAAUAGGGAUAGUUGGGGGCAUUAGUAUUCAAUUGUCAGGGGUGAAAUUCUUGGAUUUAUUGAAGACUAACUACUGCGAAAGCAUUUGCCAAGGAUGUUUUCAUUAAUCAAGAACGAAAGUUAGGGGAUCGAAGGCGAUCAGAUACCGUCGUAGUCUUAACCAUAAACUAUGCCGACUAGGGAUCGGAUGAUGUUAAUUUUUAAUGACUCAUUCGGCGCCUUACG